rnacentral:rRNA from 1 species
UACGUAGGGGGCAAGCGUUGUCCGGAAUUAUUGGGCGUAAAGCGCGCGCAGGCGGUUCAUUAAGUUUGGUGUUUAAGCCCGGGGCUCAACCCCGGAUCGCACUGAAAACUGGUGGACUUGAGUGUAGGAGAGGAAAGUGGAAUUCCAAGUGUAGCGGUGAAAUGCGUAGAGAUUUGGAGGAACACCAGUGGCGAAGGCGACUGUCUGGUCUGUAACUGACACUGAGGCGCGAAAGCGUGGGGAGCAAACAGG